rnacentral:lncRNA from 1 species
ACCGACAACUGAUCCGCAUAAUAUCCUAUUGAAGGAAACAAGAAAAAUGUUUUUAUUCUCCAUCACACAUCACGUUCCUGGAUUAGGUGAGGAGUGAUGCUGAAUACAAAUUUCGCACACACGCGGUCGGCGCACGUCCACGUGUGUGCGCGUGCGCGCGGAUGCGUGGAUUAAUGAUCGAAUGUCCGUGGUAUCGUCGUGGUCGUGACGAAUGGAUCAAGGCUCUCCGGUGUGACCGGCGAAUGGUGACAGACCCCCCGUGAAGAGAAACGGUCUCAGAGACACCAUUUACGGCGAAAGAAGGACGCUCAAGGGGCUAGUUCUUCCUCCAUAUAUGCCAUGGCGUUUACCGUCGAACGAUGUGACGAUCAAUUUUUAAAACCACCUGAAACACUCGCUGGCAGGUGCUGCUGGGAUAUUUUAGGGUUUGCGGAAUGUCGAUGGCCCAUCGAUGACGCUGACAUUCCCUCCAAGCACCGUAUGUAACACGCUUAUAUUUAUUAUACGUAUUUGCGAGUCAAUUUUUUAACGGCACCCAUUCUGUGGACGGUUUCACGUGGAAAAAAAAAAUUAUUCAGAUAAUUUGAAAGCCAUCUAAAAUCUUCGCAUAUGAAUUCCGCGAAUGUUGCCAUAUAAAGUUACCGAAAUGCACAAUUCACGUUUCCAAACCGAGCAAUUUAAUUUAAUUUAAUUUAAUUAUUAACGUCAUGUGUUUUAUACUACCGGUAUUUAGUUUUAAUUAUUUUUUAUUUAGAAUAUAAUAAUAACUCUUUCACGUGCAAAUAACAAGAGAAGUAGGACUUAAUAUACAGAAAAGAGAAAGCAAAUAUAGAAUAAGUAAUAUGGGGAAAAAAUGUUCUUUAAAAGGUGAAACAUUUGUAUAACGUUUCCUUAAACUCAAAUCUGUAAUAGAAUAGAAGUAAAAUAAUAGCACAUGCCUACACAGAUAAAAUAAAAUUACAAAUAUAGUGUAACAAAAUAAAAUAGUAACACGAGGUAAUAUAUAUAUAACAAAGAAACAGCAAAAUAAAAAAUUGUUAGCUAAAUAAUAGAAAAAGAGUAAAAGACUGCAAAAAAACUCGACAUCUAACAGAAAACAAAUGAAAUUACAAAAAAAAACGACCUGAUAGUCACGGAGAGAUUUAAAUAAAAAAAGUUCUGUAUGUUAAAACCGAUUGGAAAAUAACGUCGAUUUCUCUCGCGUGCAUAUACAAAGUGGCGCGCGUGGAAACUAGAGGAUUUGGUGCUCUGCAUGCCGUAUCGGUAACGAUAAACACGGCGAUAGACAUUCGGCCGCGUUCCCGGCCGUCGCGCGACUUUACUCCCCGGCUUCGAAUUCUUCUACGAGAAACGGAAUUCGCGCAAUCGAGGCCUGAGAAUGCUCCCCUCGGUUUACAUAAGGUGUUCAUGCAUUUAUUCGCGUCCUUACGUAGAACCUUUAAUAAUACAUGGCAGAUAAGGAUGCCGAAUGGAGUUUCGUAUGCGGCGGCGCACGGUUCACUUUUCAUGUGCAUCCGCAUGAGCAUAUCGCGGAGGAGAUAUUGGGAUGCGCAUAAGUUCGUGAACAUUAUGUGCGUCGUCGUCUACAUAGUGACUUCUGAAAAUAGUGCAUUAAAGAUACAGACAAACCGACGGAGUCAAAAUAUUAUCUGAGAGAAUAUUAUUUUUAUUAUGAACACGUUACUUCGUCGACAACUUAGACAUUCUUUUAUCCUCGGUGUUUUGAUUCUCGAUCGUUUAAUUCCUUAAUUUCUACUCUGUGCUCGUUUUCUUUUUAAUACUGUAAUUUCUUUCCUUUUAGUAAAUGUUCAAAGACGAUAAGUGUAUUGUGAAAAGAUGGACAAAAGUCCGUUACGUAUUUAUUUCAUGCCUGAAGGAACAAGAUAGACAAGACACAUGGGACCGGCUGUCGAGGAAUUUUGAAAUAACAUUCAGAAGAUUUUAUGUAGUUUUAUGUUAAAGAAAAGAAUAGUAUCCCGAUCUAUAACACCUUUUGUUACCUUUGGUUACCAGAUCAAAAUAGAAAUCAUAAAGUGAAAAAUUAUUUAUUUAUUGAUUUGCACGUAAAAAAGUUGCAGCUCAAUUUUAUCCGGGAUAUGUUAACUGAGAUUGUGCAUUAAGAUACAAUAUGAAGAAUAAUUUAUCUACAUUUUUUUUCCCAAAAUAAUUAAAAAAUGUUUUGAAUACUCAAUUCAAGGUAAUUAGAGGAAUUAGAUACGUUUUACAGGAGACGUUAGAGCUAGUUGACCAAUUUUUCAAUUUUAAAUUUUACAGACAAAACCGACAUGCUAUUUACCGAAAAAACAAA